CAGCAGCACCUGCAGGGGAAGGUAAGGAUAGGUGCUGCCGAAGGCACGCGCAGCCUACUGGCACGAUCACGCUUCCAGGGCCCCUAGUAAUUAGGGAGCUGCCCCAGACUUUGAUCCGAGUCUAAAUUCCAGAACAUGGGCUGUGGGUGGACAAGAGCAUGGGGCUGACCAAGGUUCACGUCUGCGCUUGGCUGCAGAAGACAGAUCUGUCCACAUUGGGCACGGGGCUGCCUUUUUGCCCCAGAGCAACACCCACGUCUCCCAGGGGCAAAAAGACACAAAGAGCGACUUCAUUUCUUCCAUAAUCCGAUGCCUCCAAAGUCAGGCAGAGUCCCUGGUGUGGGAAACAACACAGGCCUCUGCAGUUCUGGUUCCAAGGAAUGAACACCCCCGAGGGCUCUGGAGCAACGGAAUGGGAUAAGACGGCCUGGGUUAGGGUGAGGGUCGCGCACAGGGGUUGAGGUCUGCGGAUCAGCUAUGACGGCUUCGGG